GACGAACGCUGGCGGCGUGCCUAAUACAUGCAAGUAGAACGCUGAAGGAGGAGCUUGCUUCUCUGGAUGAGUUGCGAACGGUUGAGUAACGCGUAGGUAACCUGCCUGGUAGCGGGGGAUAACUAUUGGAAACGAUAGCUAAUACCGCAUAAGAGUAGAUGUUGCAUGACAUUUGCUUAAAAGGUGCAAUUGCAUCACUACCAGAUGGACCUGCGUUGUAUUAGCUAGUUGGUGGGGUAACGGCUUACCAAGGCGACGAUACAUAGCAGACCUGAGAGGGUGAUCGGCCACACUGGGACUGCGACACGGCCCAGACUCCUACGGGAGGCAGCAGUAGGGAAUCUUCGGCAAUGGACGGAAGUCUGACCGAGCAACGCCGCGGGAGUGAAGAAGGUUGUCGGAUCGUAAAGCUCUGUUGUAAGAGAAGAACGAGAGUGAGAGUGGAAAGUUCACACUGUGACGGUAUCUUACCAGAAAGGGACGGCUAACUACGUG
rnacentral:rRNA from 1 species